rnacentral:lncRNA from 1 species
UGGCUAUUUUAGAACCUCGGGCAUUGCUGCGAUCAUCUAUAGGGUAAUCUAGUUACCCUAGAGGUAUUUCUCUAUUUCUCAUAUUUUUAGAUUUAAUUUUAAAUUUAAUAUUAAAUAAUAAAAAUUAGAUCUAAUAGAUCUUAGAUUUGAAAUAUUAUAGAAUAAUUUUUUGAAAUAUUCUGCCUCAGAUCUCAUUAGAUCUGGAAGAUCCUACAAGGAAAAAAGUUGGUUUUUCCUUC